rnacentral:lncRNA from 1 species
CACAAAGAUUAUCCUGGCGAAGGUUUUACUAAAUUAAAACACAAUGUAGCAUUAUCUCUAAUAAUUUAGAGUGAUCAAUCUCAUCUUGACUCACACACAAAUUUUGCAAGCACUUGACUGUGCCUAGAAAUCUUCCGUUACUGUAUUAAAAAUAUAGAUAGUCCAGUAUCAAAGCACAGUGAGUUACUUGUAAGUCAUCGUGGUG